rnacentral:rRNA from 1 species
UGCGUAGGCGGACUAAUAAGUCAGUGGUGAAAUCUCUCGGCUCAACCGGGAAACUGCCAUUGAUACUGUUAGUCUUGAGUUCGGUUGAGGUAGGCGGAAUGUGUAAUGUAGCGGUGAAAUGCUUAGAUAUUACACAAAACACCAAUUGCGUAGGCAGCUUACUAGACCGACACUGACGCUGAGGCACGAAAGCGUGGGUAGCGAACAGGAUUAGAUACCCUGGUAGUCC